GCUUUGGUAAUUCAAUGAUAGAAUUCUCGCCCUCCAUGCAGGAGACCUGGUUUCAAUUCCCAGCCAAUGCA
rnacentral:tRNA from 1 species